AUCCGAAAAGGUAAACUCGCCGUAAGGCGGGGGCGCAAAGCGAGCGGUCCGGCAUUAAAGCAAAUAACAGGAUGGCGCAGCUGCCGAUC
rnacentral:ncRNA from 1 species